UCGCACGUUUCUCAACCAGUAAAGAUCCAACUUUGCAAGAACAUUCCCUUCCCACUGCUUUUGAGUUAGGCCUGAGGAGUCAAUUCUCCUUCUCGUCUUCGCUCUCCGAACUUCCCGCAGUCAAUUAGGGUUUCACUGACUUACUCUCUCUCUCUCGCCAUUGAAUCUUCAGCAGCGUUCAUGUCUGCACGGAACAGAGGACCUCCGGUUCCGCUAAUGUCGGCAUCACACGCCGGGCUCUUGCCGAUCCGCGAACCUCCGUACGGCCGGUCACUUGCGCCAGUGCCCCACCCAUCUCUUCUUGAUGAUGCCCGGAAUCCUCACAUUGCCCGCGGCGCCGUUCCGGGGCCAGGGCCGCUUCUCCCCGGCCCCCCGGCGGCGGCCAUAAUUGAGGAUCGUCUUGCAGCACAGCACCAUGAAAUUCAAGCCCUCCUCGUGGACAACCAGCGGCUGGCGGCGACCCACGUCGCGCUCAAGCAGGAGUUGGAAUUGUCGCAGCACGAGAUUCGCAGAAUGGCGAACGUUCUCGGGUCCGUUCGGGCCGAGGCGGAUUUGCAAUUGAAGGAAGAGUAUGAGAAGUUGAGGAAAAUGGAGGCGGAUCUUCAUGCAGUGCAUGCGAUGAAAGCGGAGCUUAUGCAGGUUCGUGCGGACGUUCAGCAGCUAAGUGGUGCGCGGCAGGAGCUUACUGGACGGGUCCAGGCUAUGACUGAGGAUUUGGAUGGGACUGGUGUUGAGUUGCAAAAGCUGCCCGCUCUAAAGGGGGAGAUAGAGGGCAUGAAGCAAGAAUUGCGUCGUGCAAGGGCUGCCAUUGAGUAUGAGAAGAAAGGGUAUGCUGAAAAUUAUGAGCAUGGUCAAGCCAUGGAGAGGAAUUUGAUUGCAAUGGCCCGUGAGAUGGAAAAGCUUCGUGCAGAGUUAGCUAAUGCAGAAAAGAGAGCACGUGCAGCUGCUGCUGUUGGAAACCUGGGUUAUGGCGGAAGCUAUGGUGAUACUGAGAUGUCAUAUGGACGACAUCCUUAUUCUGCUGGAUAUAGCAUGAAUGCUGGACAGGGUGGAGCUGGAGGUAUUGCUCAAUAUGGUCCUGGUCCUGCUUCUGCUCGUGCUCCACCUACUUCCUGGGGUACAUAUGACAUGCAGCGGGCUCAUGGUGGAAGAUGAACUGUGGUGCUGUUGAUGCUAAGUGUUGGUCUUCAGUUUGUGUCGUCAUACUGAGUGUUUGACCUCUCAACGUGGCUAGUGGUUCCAGAACAGUUGGACUUUAAGAAGUGGAUGACAUUCAUGUGCUGUAUGGUGGACGCUGAGUCUUGUUUCAUAUUAGUAUGCUUGGAGAGGAGGAUGUUUCAAGGCAACUGAAGGCCUUUGUUUGCUGCUAUGAAGCUACUGUUUGACAUUAUAUAUACAAAACCUCAACUUAAGGUUUGUCUCCUCUAGUUUUUUGAAUGGUUAUACGCAGUUUCUGGUGUACUCUUGCUCUUAUUUACAGAUUUAACCCAAUUUCAGUGAAAUCCAAACGCAGUCAGGAGGUGCAUUUUUAGAUUCCUGAGUUCAAAGGUUAGAUCAGAGUAAGCUUUGUAGAUUGUCACUGAACUUGGUAGUAGUUUCAAAUUGGUUGCAGAACUUCACUUUGGAAUAUAUAAUGAGCUGAACUUUGCACAUUAUACCGAUAUCUAAUGUGCAACAAUAAUCCCCUGUAAUUAUCAGAAUGUUAUCUAGUAUCCAGACAACCAUCUCAGUUGGCCCUUAUUGCGUAAAAGGCAAGAAAAUUCAUCAAAAGGUUGAGAUUUUUAAUUUUACUUGACAAAACCAUACUCCCUAUUCUCCAUAUGAUUGAGAAAAAGUGUGACGAAAUGGUAAUGUGAGUGGGACUAAAGAACUCAUUGGGGUGACUAAUUGAAAUGCUCAGGGAUGAUUGUUGUGCAUUAGAUGACGACGUUGAAAUAAUGUUUGAAGUUGUGUUAUAGGUUACAAAUUGAAGUUUGGUGACCGAUUUGAAACUUCUUCUCAAGUUCAGUGACUAUCAAUGAACAUUUUUACCAAGAUUGAUAAUGUUCUGAAUCUGGAAUGUAAACCGCAGGGUCACGGAGUCGGGCUACAAUGCUUGAUGCCAUGGUUCAAGUGCCUCAAAAAGUUUCGGAUACUCCUCACCCUCCUCCCUUGUCCUACGUGCUUUUUUCUAUUUUCUUUUUUAAUUUAUUCUGCCUCCACCUGCACCCUGCUACUUUGUACAGUGCAUGCUUGCUAACUUCCAUGUUGCAGAUGGGACAUGCCAUUGUUGUGAGGACCCAAACAGUUUUUCCAAAUGAAAUUUUGAUUCUGAUUUUUGACACAGGAA